rnacentral:lncRNA from 1 species
GGUAGGGCAAAAGGAGGCUAGCUGGAAUAGAUUUCUAGGCAAGGAUUUGAGGGGGUGAUGGAGUGAGGUUGACAGGGACCUGCUAUAAACUGUGCCAUUGUGCCUAGGAAUGGGAGUCCAACGCUUCCGUGUCCGAAGUCUGUUUAACUAUAUUUGGACAAUGACCCUUUAGAGAUGCUGAUAAAGGCUACACAGAAUCCCAGAAACUGUCCACAACAAACUCACAGAUUCUGCCAUCUCUGCCCUGCUGAACCCCAAGUGA